GUCAAGAACUAUAAAAUCAAAGAUUCAUGAGUUUCCUUAUUAGAAAGAUAAAUUUCGAUUUAUAUUUCUCUCGAGUUUCUGUUUUUCGAAAAAGAAGAAGAAGUAAGAAAAAAGGAAGAAGGAGGAAGAAACAAUCUUGAAAAUUGUUAUACGAGUACUACGAUUUAUAUUUCAAAUUAUCUCUUUUAUCUUUUUUCUUUUCUUUUUUUUUUUUUUCUUUUCUCUUAUUUCUUUUUGACCGAUCAAGCACUCACGUGUAUACACGUCAAUGAUUUUUAUUUCCCUCGUUCGUUGACGUCAUAACUCCUCUCCCUCUUUCUCUCUUUCUUUCUCUCACAUACACACACUCUUUCUCUCUCUCUCUCUCUCUCUCUCUCUCUCCCUCUUUCUUUUACAUUGAAAUGGUGAGAUAAUAUUGCAAGAAGGUGUAGGACGUUUACAAUGAAAGACUCCGCGAGAAUGUGAGUCAGCAGAGGUCAAAGGCCAUAAGUCGGUCGACAGUAUAAGUCAUCGAGAAAUACUAGAAACGGCAAACAACGUUUGUAAAUCGAUCAGAAAAUAAGUGAGAGUGGUGAAAGAUCGAUCGAUCUUCGAUCUGACGUAGAACGUCAGGGCAAACAGCAGCUGAUAUUUGCUCUCUCUCUCUCUCUCUCUCUCUCUCUCUCUCUCUUUCUCUCUCUCUCUCUCUUCAGAAAUAACGCGCGAAUGCAGUAUUUCGUAUAUGCGAAACAAUUUCAUUUGUAUUGUUUCACAUUUCACAGAAAAAAAAAAAGAAAGAACGAACAAACAAGAUUCAUUUCGGAUAACAAAAUGAGAGAUAAAAAAAAUAAAAUUAUACGCUAUUGUCAUUUGCUUUCGAUAACAUCUAAUCUUAAUGAAAAAUUAGGAAAAAAAGAGAAGAAUGAAACUUACGAUCUAUACGCAUACAUAUAAAUAUGAGAUAGCAAAACGAUUGGAAAAAGGAUAUCAAAAGAAAGAAUAAAAAAAUAAAUAAAUAAAAUAACAAAUCAAAGGAAUGAAAACGUGAAAUUAGAAUUAUGCAAUCGAAAUAUAAAUUUUUUUUUUCAUCGUUUUAUACAGGUACAAGCCAAUAUUGUUUCUAGAUCAAUUUAUUAUUUAUUUAUUUUCUUUUUUUUCUAUUUUUUCAUUUAUAGGAUUUACUAAUAAUAUUAAGUUAAAGAAAAGAUAUAUUUUUAAUAUCAAAUAGAAACUUUUUGUUUCAUCCUGUAUAUCUCAUACGUAUAAGUGUAUAUGUAUGUGUUAGAAUAUUCGAUUCGUAUAGUUUGUCGUUGUCGAUUGUGUAACACUUUGGAUAAAUUGAAGAAGAGAAAAAAAAAAAGAGAAAAAGAAACAAAAAGAUAAAAAGAGUAGGAACAAAAGCACGUUACGUAGUAACGUCGGUAACAUCAUCGUCACCAUCACCGUUCGCGUAAUACUUGUCAAAGACACAUUUUUCCUUACGAAUUUAAUCGUCUCGCUUACACCAUUUUAUAUCUGUCCGAUUUGUUUCUUUCGUAAUAUACCCAAGCUUUUUAUGUAAUCGCAGAAGCGAAUGUUUUUAUGAAUGUUUACGUCACGAUACGUAACAUUUUCUUUCUUAUAUCAGCACCAAUUUGUAACCAAUGUCUGUUAAUAAUCAAACUGACGUAAAAUACGAAAAGAAAAGAGGAUCUUAAAUUACACGUUCUAUGGCUGCCUAUAAUAAAUUUACAAACGCGCAAGCUCAAUAUUCUUAACCGAUAAUAAUUUCGGUUCUCUCUCUCUCUCUCUCUCUCUUCCACGGUCUUUCUCCCUCUUAUACAUUUUCCUCUUCUAUCUAACCAAUCACCCACCCUCUCACCCACCCACCCUCCCAACCACCACCCACCCCCCGUCCAUUUCGUAUUCCACUCGAUCGAUCGUUUCAUGCAAAUUACACGAGAGUGUCCAGGAGCAAACCAUUCCCCCAUUUACGAUUUAUACCUUCAUUAUCCAAAUUAUUUUACGUUUAUGCUAAAAUACAUCCGUACGAUUUCUUUAAUAUAUACGUAUAAUAGAUUUUUUUGCUAAAAAGUUUCGCUCAAAUAAAAAUGAUUCAAAUAAUAGUUCUAACGAUUGAUCUCGAUAUUAUCGAUCCUUUAAUAAUGGAUAUUAUUUUAUAUUACUAAAAAUAUACGUGUAUAUCUAAAUAUUUCUACGAUAACGAUCGCGUAUCCAAUAAUACUAAAAUAUAGAUGAUAGAGAAUAUAGAGCAAGAUAAAAAGAAAAAAAAAAGAAAAAUAUGAAAGGGAUAACGACGAAGAAGUUGCAAUGUGUUAAUGGAUAUUACUUAAGAUCUAUAUCGAAUUGAUAUUAGGUUUUAUCAUUGAUAAGGAUGUAUUAAUUAUUUUAAAGAAAUUAUUUCUCACGCAUAUAUAUUUCACGGAUAGAUUCUCAUUGAAAAUGUACUCGAUACAAUUGAUUAGUCACAACUUUUUUUUAUAAAGAAUUUUCCCCUACGAAUCUCUCUUACCCUUCCUCUCACUCACUCACUCACUCUCUCUCUCUCUCUCUCUCUCUCUCUCUCUCUCUCUCUCUCUCUCUCUCUCUCUCUCUCUUUACCACCUCACCUCGCCCCACUUCUCUUAUCCCUCCUAUCCCUCUUACCCCACCUCACCGCUAUCCUCGGUAGGAAUAAAUUUAACUCGCGAACGUUGGACUCGCAAAUACGUUUUCAAAGAACGUAUUCGUAAGGCAGGCUUCGCUCGAAUUAGAAGGGUUCACUUGUGUCAUGGAAUAAAAUAGAAAAGAAUGGAAAAGAAAAGGAAAGGAAAGAAAAAGAAAAGAAAAGAAAAGAGAACGUUCGUUCUUCUUUUAAGCCAACGAAGAAACGCUUUCCACGGCCCUACAAUAGUUACGAGGUUACGCUUCCUGAAUCUUAUUGUAUGUUGAAAAAUGAAAUGUGAACGCGGACAAUGUAGAGAAAGAAAAAGAGCAAGGGAGAGACAUAGAAAGAGAGGAAGAAGGUGAGAAAGAGGGAGAGGAAAAAGGAAGGAAGGGAUGAGGAAACGCCAGGUGCAACGAAUGCAUCGAAGUGAUCGAGUUUUAUCUUCGUGCGAAAGUGCCAUGUAUUAUCGAUCGCUUUACUUUUUUCAUUCGAUCUUUAUUUGCAAUUUAAAAUACAUACAUAAAUACAUACCCUGUAUACAUACAAUAUAUAUAUAUAUAUAUAUAUAUAUAUAUAUAUAUAUAUAGGAUGAGUAAAGAAUAUAAUAAUUAUAUAUAUAUAUAUAUAUAUAUAUGUAUAAUUAUUUCAAGAUAUAAUCUUAUGUAAUUUGUUAUUCCGAGAAGAUUUAACGUUAAAAAAAAAUGAAUAUUAAUGUAAAUUAAUGUGUUAAUAUAUUCGAAAUAAUUUCGAAAGAGUUGAUGAAAAAAAUUGAGUUGGAGGAUCUAGAAAUGAUCGAAAGGCGACUUUUUGAAGGGCGUUCUCCUCACGAAAGCUCCUCUUAGGAAUCCAAGAGAGGAAGAAUAGGGACCCUACGGGUCGUCAUGACAACGUGAACUAGUGGUCUCCUGACCCCCUCGCUUCAGCCCCAAGCCAACCCAACUCAACUCCCCCUCCCCUCCCACGAAUACAUACAUAUUUAUGUAUUCAGCCUGUGUCGUCGUAGCCAAGCCAAGCGAAGCGAUUAAAUCUCUCGGUGAUCUUCGAUGACGAUGUGAGCGUGCAUGCAUCGGCGAAAAGCCAAAUCGAUCGCAACACGCCUAAUCUCCGUUGGGAAUAAAAUAUCGAGUUCGAAAAUAACAGCGUUAAGUGAUACGAUGGUUUCGCGUGAUCGAUCGAUUCAAUAACAAUCUUUUUGCACCUUGGACUUGUUUUCGAAAAAUGAUGAACAACUCGACCCGAAUAACAUCGAUAACGUUUGAUCGAAAUGCAGAUCAAUCAAUUGAACGUGUCAACGAAGAGAAACCAUUUCUCAAUGGUGUUAAAUUAUCGGAUACUUCUUUUUGCGGCACAACUUUCGAAGAGUUGCAACGAGCAACGAAAAAGAAAAAAGAAAAAAAAAGAAAAAAAGAAGAAGAAAAAAAAGGAUAAAGUAAUACAAGAAAAUCUAAUGGUAGAAACAGCGAAUACGUCAGACACUUUUGCGUGUUGGAAUUUUACUCUGCUUGAAUUGGCGACUUUUUAUUCGUCCUCGUAAAGCUCGCAACAAGAUCAAAUCGAAAAAUAUACGUGUUAACUAACAAAUUACAAGAAGAAAAAGAAAGAGGAGAAGGGGAAGGAGAGUACGAAAGAGUCAUUUGAAAUUUGACGACGAAGAGUCCUGAUUAUACGAACGAGGCACGUUAGUCGUUCUUGGUCAUUCGCACAAACGAAACGAAAGAAGCGUGACGUUCAUUAGAGCAUUUAGAUGGAGUCAACAAAAUGAUUAGAAUUAUGCGAUAACGAAAAUAUUUAUAUAGGUAAGUUGGUAGGUAGAUAGAUAAAUGUGUAUGUAUGUAUGUAUGUAUGUAUUUAUAUUUCGAGAGUUGAGCCAUAGUACGUUCGCGAAUAACACGAACGAACAUUUAAACGACGAGUUUCUGCUCCGUUUCGUAGCGAGCUCGACACUUUCACCGCGAGCAGAGAACCGUAAAACGAUGACGUGGAUCCUUUUGCAAAGCUCCGUCGAGUUUCGUCGUUUCGAUCGUUCAUGUUACACCUGUGAGAACGUGGAUAUAUGAAAAUUCAUAGGGGAAAAAAGGAAAAAAUAAAACCAAGGAAAAGAAAAAGAAGAAAAAGAGAAAAAGAAAAUUAUAAAAACGAUUGGCGAAAUGAAUUUUUAAUCGCAAAUAUAUCUGCAUGUGUGCGCAUUCGUACGUGUGGUGUGUCAAUUAAAAAAAAACCUUGAAUUCAUUCAUGAGAAUCGUAAGAGCUUCCUUAAAAUAAAUUAAAUAGAUAGAUAGAUAGAUGGAUUUUCGAAACAGCUGAUCGACAAUGAAUAGUUCAUCUAUAAAUAAAUCUUUCAUAGGUUUAUAUUUUGGUGAGCAGCUCCCGAGCUAACGUAAGAUAUAACUUUUAUUUUUGGAGCAGAUUGUAAAAGACAGAUUUCUAGGUAUAUACAGGAUAUAUAUAUAUAUAUAUAUAUACGUACAUGUAUAUACGUAACAAUGGUUGCUUAGUCACCCGACCGAGUUCUUUAAUGACGACAUUGAUGAUGAUGACGACGAUGAUAAUGCUGAUACGCGCUCGUACGACUCGCAUCGAUUAUCAAAUCAAGUGGAUUAGUGCAUAACACAAAGUGAAUAUGUUUUUCUAUGAACAUCUUUUCACAGAACCGAACUAUCAUAAUAAUAGCUAUUCUUUUUUCUUUUUGUACGCUUAUUAAAAUA